GGCUGAGUAGCUCAGAUGGUUAGAGCGCACGACUCAUAAUCGUGAGGUCGCGGGAUCGAUCCCCGCCUCAGCUA
rfam:Microterricola viridarii strain ERGS5:02, complete genome.